AUGGCUGGUUUAUAUCCACCUGCUAAUAGUCAAGAUGAAUUAUCCAUCGCUCAUCUGAACAUAGAUGGUCUCAGGAACAAGGUUCCUGACAUUUAUUAUAUUUUAACUUCUGGUCAGAUCCAUGUGCUGGCUCUCUCUGAAACCCAUUUGGACCCUAGUGUUGAGGACACAGAGCUGCACAUCAGAGGCUACAAGUUGUACAGGAGGGACAGAGACAGUUGUGGAGGUGGAGUAGCUCUGUAUGUCCAGACUCAGAUUCCAUGUAACAAACGAGAUGACCUUGAGGUCGUUAAAACAGAGAUCGUGUGGGUCGAGAUUCAUCUGUCUGGCAGACCCAUCUUGGUGGGUUCUUGUUACAGGCCACCACAUGUCAAGGACCGAUAUCUGGAUAGAGUCAAGGAAAAAGUGAAUGUGUCUCAACAAAACAAGGACAUAGACAUUUUCUUACUGGGAGACUUCAAUCAGGAUUUGAUUGUUUCCCGAAGCUAUCACCGUAGUUUUGACAUCUGCCAUGAUCUUACACUCACCCAGGUUAUAACGGAACCUACAAGAGUGACGCUUCGGAAAAAUGGCCAACUGACCUCAACAUGUAUUGAUCACAUCUAUACAAAUGUCCCAGAGGCUCAGUGUAGACUUACCUCAAUACCUACGGGUUGCAGUGAUCACAACAUUGUUGGCGUCACUGUGAAAAGAAAAGUACCCAAGGCUCAAGGGGAGAUAAUCACCAAGAGGUUGAUCCGUGAGUCUAAUAAAGAGAGGUUUUUUAAGGAGAUCCAGGAUGUGUGUUGGGGCAACGUCUAUAAUAAAUCUGAACCUGAACCUGCUUUGGAUAGUUUCAUUAAGACUUUUUGUGAAACAGUUGACAAAUAUGCUUCGUUAGAAGACGAUGCAUUUGCGCCAUGGUUUGAGAAAGUUAAACCCUUAAUGAAAGAAAGAGAUGACGCCAAAGCUCAGGCUCAAGCAUCAAACGCUCCUGAACAUUGGGAAAAGUUUCGUAAGUUAAAAAAAGAAACUUCUAAGGAAAACACAGGUAAAAGGACAAAGCACUUUCAACAGAGACUCCGUGGAGCUAAUAAUGAUCCUAACAAAGUUCUUAAAAUAUUAAAAGAGUUUCUGGGACGAGAUGUCGUUUAUCCAGUGACAAUCAUAAAAUCUGAGGGACGUCUGAUCACAGAAGCAGAAGAAGUGACCAAUCACUUCAAAGAUUAUUAUAUUACAGAAAAUGAAAAAGUCCGAUCAGGAUUAGCUGAGGGUGAAGGUCUGUCUGUGUCCUGUUCUCUUAUAAAGGAGAGAAUCAUAAAAGACAAACGAUGCUCCUUCUGUUUUAAAACAGUUGCUAUUCGCAGGGUUAAACAAGUGUUGUCCUCACUUGAAGACCUUCCUGCAGGGUUGGAUAAGCUGGAUGCAUGCAUUCUAAAGGCUGCUGUCAAGCAGCCUUUAGAAUGCAUAGCAUCUGCUGCUAAGCACCCUUCAAGAUGCAUGCAUGGAGGCUCAGCCAUCUCUGCUCCAGUGUGUCACAUAGUGAACAUGAGCCUUCUCAGUGGCGUGUUUCCACCACAGUGGAAGGAAGCCAUGGUUGUCCCAGUUCUAAAGAACCACGGUGAAAACUACAGAGCAGAGAACAGCAGAGCUGUUACUGUACUUCCAGUUUUGAGUCAGGUCCUGGAGAAAAUGAUGCUGCAGCAGAUUGAGCAGUACUUUGUAGAGAACCAGCUGUUCACUCAGGACCAGUGUUGUCUAGAGAAGAUGAUGGAACACUGGCUACAAGAGCUUGACAACAGCAGACAUGUAGGAUUGCUGUUCCUGGACCUCAGUGCCUCUCUGGAUCUCAUCAAUCACAAUAUGUUGCUGGAGAAACUGAAAGUGUAUGGUUUUACAGAUGAGUCCCUUUGCCUGAUCAAAAGUUACUUGUCCAAAAGGAAACAAGUAGUCUGCUGCAACAACAGCUUCUCUGUGUUUGAGAGUGUGGACUGUGGCUUACCACAAGGCAGCUGCCUGGGGCCUCUCCUGUUUAGCAUCUAUGCUAAUGACUUGCUGCUUGCCUUAGAAGCAUCAUCUGCCGUUAUGUGUGGCCAUCAAAUGCUAGUUUAUUACUCAGCUCAGCAUCAUAACAAGAUAAACCGGGUGUUGGGAAGCAAGUUAAAAUCUGCAUUGGACUGGGUCUGUGACAACGAGAUGACUUUGAAUGUUUCUAAUUCUGUGAUAAUUAGUGACAAAGAGAAACUGUCUAGUAUUUGUCAACUUAUUUCUGAUGUGAAAGAUCUCAAAGAGAUUAAUCAAAUCAAAUUAUUAUCAGCUAGACUUCAUCAGUCGCCAUCCUGGUCCCUGUACUAUGACAAUAUAACCAACAAAAUACAGAAAGUUAUGACUGAGAAAAUGUUUGAUGAUGAGGGCUUUCAAAAAGUCCUGAAACCAGUAACUGAGGCGUUGGUGUUUUCUCUCCUUGAGACUCCUUCUGUCCUUUGA
rnacentral:lncRNA from 1 species